rnacentral:lncRNA from 1 species
AGCAACACGAAGGCAAGACUUCAAAGCCAGCAUCUCCAGCCCUGCUCUUGGACUAAACACCCGGACAGAUUGGCUGAUGAGCUCUGGCAUCCAGCCAGAGAGAGCUCUGGCCAGCUUGAGGUCUCUCCCAGGACAGUGGCUCAUGCUCACAGUGGACAGGCGGGAAUAGGUUGGUGCAAGGGGCCAGUUUGGGUCUUUCUGCAUGACCCUGCAGUUGUGCUGGUCCUGUGGGUUUCCAGAAGAGUCAAGGACCCUAGGCAAAGUCUACAACUAAAGAUGGCUGGACACUCCUCGAUCUGUGAAGCCACUUGGCCACGCAGCCUCUGGUGCAGAUAGUCUCCCAGCAACAGAGGAGGGACCCCGGGGAUACUUGCUAAGUUACCAAGCUGUUUAUGUUGAGCCGCGUGGCCUUUGCAGCCAGGCCUGCUUGAUGCUGUUGGGACUUCUAGAGGUCUGGCCCAGGGCAGGGGUCUGAACCCAAGAAGGUCGCCUGGCAGGAAAACAAGGCCUAGACUUGCAACACAUUCAGAAUGCCUGGAAGCUGCUGAGCAGAGAUCAGAACUUGCCUGCUGUUUCUGAAGCACUCUGACAUGAAGCCAUGGAAACAGAUGCGUAUAGGACUCUGUGUGUCUCCUCCUGGACUCACACUUGCCAAGAAACAAGUAAGACAGAUGGGAUUCUAAAAUGAUGUCUGUCUCUUGCCUCCAGUCUCCAGUUCUCAGCCCGAGGAGCCAGGAGCUGCUGGCCCCGACCCACAAGGGGAACUGCUUCCUUACAACUCUUCCUUGAGGCUCUCUGCUGCAUCCUGCCGACCCCAGGUGUACAUCCAGACAGGAAGCCACAAAUGCUCCUAGAAUAUUGAAGAUGAACAGAGGCGGCAAGGGCAUCUCUGUGAGCUCAGACUAGGGCUCACCAUCUCCUGCUCCGCAGCUCCGGAGGCCACACAUCUGUCAGUAAUUUUGCCUUCAUAAAUAGCUGUGCUUCCAUUUGUUUGAAAGGCUGCCUGCGUGGGUAGAUGGCCCCGGGCUCACCAAUUUCCUCCUGAAAUGGUGCAGGACACCUGAACUUUACCAAGUAAAUGCAGUCUAUGCUCCUGAGAGCCAGGAGCAGAAGGGGGACUAUGGAUCCUCUGCUCCAACAGAGAGACUUGCAGCAUCCUGAGUGACUGUGUUGCCUCCUCUCCUGUCUACCCGUCCCUUCUAGGAACCCAGUAGUACAGGAGGUUCUCUAGCCACAGGCUGGCAGCAUGUCACAGCUGGACCCCUAUUAGCUUUGUGUCUGCCAGGAUUUUGAGAGUCAUGGUGGGGCUAGAAUGCCUGGGCCCAGGCUGUUUCUGGGUCUUCCUUGAGCCCCAAGUCCUGGGACAGUGGCAAGGCAUGCCCCUGCCCCCACUGGUGGCAGGAGGAAGCCAUUCAUCAUCCUGGAGAUCUGGCUGCUGGUAUGUUUAUCUGCAGGAAGGAAAUGAAGUCUUUUCAUCUCUUCCCAGCGGCGUCUGGCCCACUCACUCUCCAAUCUGUCAGCCAGGGGAAAUUUAAAUAAUGGGCUGCUCUCUGUCCGUACCUGGUUUUUGUCUUCAGAGUUCUAUGUGCCUUGCUCCCUGAGUGUCUCCAAUUAUUGCUGCUUCCUCCUUGAGAUAAAUUCUGUCAUACAUUU